GAAAAUCUUUCCAAAAAAAGGAUGUUACUGUUCAUAAGAUGUUUUGAGCCCAAAUAGAAACAUAGGUUUGGUUCUUCACUGUUUCAUUUAGAAAUUCGAAUUCCUUGGGCUCGUUGUUGAUUUUGGUUCUAAGAUUUCUAAUUUCUUCAUUAUCUGAGCUUGUAUUACUGGUUUGAGUUUGGAUUGAAGCUGGGUUUGAGCUUCUGAACCCUAAGACGUCGAACAACAGUAGCGAUUUUGGGGAUUUUGCUUCGGUUCCGAGAUUUGAGUUUGAAUUCAAUUGGGAGUUUGGGAAUCUAGUUGGAAACAUCAUUUUGAAGCUGAAUCGGAAGGAUUAGCUCGAUUUGGACUGAUUUACUAGUUUUUGGUUCGAAACUUUGAAUCGAUUGUGCGGAGAAGAAGACGACCUAGGGUUCAUCGAUUUCGUGAAUGUUUGUUCAAAUUGGUUCCGGGGUUUGAUCUUGGAGUGCUUUAGAAGUUGAAUCCAGUGUUUGAAAUCAAUUGGUGAAGAUUUGAGUGAGUUUGAAGCCGCAUAACCUACGCCUCAUUCCUACGCCCUUCUUUACGCGACUACUCGACGCAACAGGCGAAAUAGAUUCAAAAAGCUUGAAAAUGGAGGAAGAGAAGAUUUCCAAGUUCCGCUAAAUUUUCCUCUAUUCUUUCUUGGUAAACAAACUGUAACAACGCUAAGCACAUUGAAUUUCCUCUGGACAAAAACUUCUACUUAAAAGGGAAGAACAACUAAGAAAUUUUGAUGGGUCUUCUCUACCGAGAUGGUUGGAACGAGUAAUGGAGACUCAGGACUAUGAAAUGGCUGUUCAAAGUUACUGUAUGUGAGUGUUUUUCUUUUUUUUGCUCAUAGUUUAUUUGAAUUGUUAUUGAAUGUUGUCCGCUCCAAAUUUAUCUUGUAGUUUUCAGUGUAAAACCUCGAAUGCUAGAAUUGCAGGGAAUUUCCUCGCAUAAUAGUUGCUCAAAUCUUGUGCGGCUUACAGUAGUUUAGACUUUAGAUUUGUAUGUCAACCAGUGCUUAAUAGGAAUCUUCGGUUUAUUCUUGCAUUAAUUUAUAUUCAUAAUUUUUUUAGA